rnacentral:rRNA from 1 species
GACGAACGCUGGCGGCGUGCCUAAUACAUGCAAGUCGAACGCAGUGGGGACGGGUGAGUAACACGUGGGUAACCUCCCAUCAGAGGGGAUAACACUUGGAAACAGGUGCUAAACCGAUACUGAUGGAUGGACCCGCGGUGCAAUAGCUAGUUGGUGAGGGAACGGCUCACCAAGGCCACGAUGCAUAGGCGAGUGGCAAGGGUACUCGGCCACACUGGGACUGGGACAGGGUCCAGACGCCUACGGGAGGCAGCAGUAGGGAAUCUUCGGCAAUGGACGAAAGUCGGACCCAGCAACUCCGCGUGAGUGAAGAAGGUUUUCGGAUCGUAAAACUCUGUUGUUCUAGAAGCGGUAUCUAACCAGAAAGCCACGGCUAACUACGUGCCAGCAGCCGCGGUAAUUC